ACAAACAAAGAUGUUGUGUCCGCUGAAAAACUAAAAAAUAAAUAAAUAAAUAAAAAUUCUCUCUCUCUCUCUUAAAAUAAUACUAAUACAUUUUUUAAGAUAGAGAGAGAGAGAGUGAGUGAGAGAAUUUUAAUAUUUAUUUUUUUAGUUUUUGGCGGACACAACAUCUUUGUUUGUAUGUGGUGCUGAGAAUCGAACCCGGGCCGCACGCACGCCAGGCGAGCACGCU
rnacentral:sRNA from 1 species